AGGGUUUGACAGCAUACAUACUUAAAUUGGAAUGACACAGGGAAGAUUAGCAUGGCCCCUCUGCAAGGAUGACAUACAAAUUCAUGAAGCAUUCUGUUUUUUG
ensembl:snRNA U6 U6 spliceosomal RNA